ACGAAAUUGUAAUAGUUUUAUUCUAGUAAUAGUAUUACUAUUAGUAUUGAGUCAGUGAGUGUACAAACUCUGAGUCUUAGCAUUGUUUGUAUGUUAUUAGGGUUUUGCACUAGAAAUUGAUUAAUAUUAUUUUAAGUGAUAGAAAAUAUAAAUAAGUAAGCUUUACUUAUUACUGACGUUGAGACUGAGUGAGUAAAACUACGAACUCGGUAGGCCUACUUGCGCACUAAUUCGUUAUUGGAUUUGAAAUUUGAACGAUCGCAGUCAUGUCAUUUUUAUGAUGUGUAAUUCACGAGAGAAAAAUAAAAAAGUACAGUGCAAAAAUUUACAAACACCCCAGAAGCUGUCUUUAUCAGUUGCAUUAUCCUUCAUAUAUGGAAAUAUGACACUUGGUCGAGAACCAGACAUAUCUUUGACAAUUUUCAGUACUAGGUUGGUAUGUCCUCACACAGUGAUAUACAUUGGCAACAUGACAGGUGUGGUACAGCCUAGAGGAAAGUAUCAUAAAACAUCUGUUAGAAAUGAAACACCAUAUUAGGUAGAACAAAACACAUUUACUCUGAGCCAUAGAGCAUACUGUGAUGUGGGAGUAAAUGAAAGUAUCCUACCAUGUCUCUGUUGUUUCACCACAUUUUCUGCUAUUCAAAUAUAUUGUUCAACAGAAUGUGAAUGUUAAAUAUAUAUAUUUGUUUUUAAAUUUGUCUUUCAGGCUCUUGGUAGAAGGAUGCUACAUACACGUGAAAACUAAAUUUCAAUCAAAUUUUGUCAUUUAAUUAAAAUGAGAUAUAAAAUCUCAUAUUUGAAUAAGCUAUAACUUUUUUCUUUCAAAUAUAAUUGGAACUUAAAUGUUAUCUGUCAGACUGGUAUUAUUACUAUUAUUCUUUUAGUUUUAUAUAUUCUAGUGAAACACUGAAUACAAAUAUAGCAUCAGUAAUAUUCUUAAGCAUUUGUAAAUGUUAAAUUCAGGAAGCAGUCAUAUGCUCACCUAAACCAAAAUUACAAGAGAAAAAAUAAAAUAUGCUGCAUUUAAAAAUCUCUGUAAAGCAUAAUUUUUUGUAUUUUAAGGUGGGGAUCAACUGCUAUUAUGUUUCAAAUUUCAAAACUAAACAGAAGAAUUAAAAAAAAAAUUAAGUAAAUAUGAAAGGCCUAUUGUAUUAAGCUGUUUUGUGUUUCAUAAAUGAAUUUCUACUUUAAAGCUGAAAUUUUAAGCAAUACAUUUAUAGACCAUUAGAAGAUCUAAUUUAAUAUGUAUAAACUAAAUUCUUAACUUUCUUGGUAAAAUUCAGUUGAAAAUUAGCAAGUGUUAUUUGUGUUUAACACAUUAUAAAUUUUAUUAGUGUUUUAGAAAGUGUAUGUGUGUCCGUAAUCAUGAAUGAAUUAUGGAUAACCAAGUAUAAAAUGAUAGAUCCAAGUGAUUUUUUU